UGCAGUCGAACGGCAGCGCGGACUUCGGUCUGGCGGCGAGUGGCGAACGGGUGAGUAAUACAUCGGAACGUGCCCUGUUGUGGGGGAUAACUAGUCGAAAGAUUAGCUAAUACCGCAUACGACCUGAGGGUGAAAGUGGGGGACCGCAAGGCCUCACGCAGCAGGAGCGGCCGAUGUCUGAUUAGCUAGUUGGUGGGGUAAAGGCCUACCAAGGCGACGAUCAGUAGCUGGUCUGAGAGGACGAUCAGCCACACUGGGACUGAGACACGGCCCAGACUCCUACGGGAGGCAGCAGUGGGGAAUUUUGGACAAUGGGGGCAACCCUGAUCCAGCAAUGCCGCGUGUGUGAAGAAGGCCUUCGGGUUGUAAAGCACUUUUGUCCGGAAAGAAAUCGCGCUGGUUAAUACCUGGCGUGGAUGACGGUACCGGAAGAAUAAGCACCGGCUAACUACGUGCCAGCAGCCGCGGUAAUACGUAGGGUGCGAGCGUUAAUCGGAAUUACUGGGCGU
rnacentral:rRNA from 1 species